rfam:Hordeum vulgare subsp. vulgare, WGS project CAJW01000000 data, contig: morex_contig_1268274
GGGCCUGUAGCCACGAGGAUUAGAGCACGUGGCUACGAACCACGGUGUCGGGGGUUCGAAUCCCUCCUCGCCCA